rnacentral:rRNA from 1 species
GUCUUUUUGAAAUUAAUUUAAAGUCUAACCUGCCCAUUGAAAAUUUUAAAAGGCCGCAGUAUUUUGACUGUGCAAAGGUAGCAUAAUCAUUUGUUUUUUAAUUGAAAACUUGUAUGAAUGGUUGAACGAAAUAUAAACUGUCUUAAUAAAAAUAUAUUUGAAGUUUACUUUUUAAUUAAAAGGUUAAAAUUAAAUUAAAAGACGAGAAGACCCUAUAGAUCUUUAUUUUAAUUAUUUAUUUAAUUUAAUUAUAAAUAUUUAAAUUUUAUAAAAAUUAGAAUUUUAUUGGGGUGAUAAAAAAAUUUAAAAAACUUUUUUAAUUUUUAAACAUAAAUUAAUGAAUAUUUGAUCCAUUAUUAAUGAUUAAUAGAUUAAGUUACCUUAGGGAUAACAGCGUAAUUUUUUUUGAAAGUUCAUAUUUAUAAAAAAGAUUGCGACCUCGAUGUUGGAUUAAGAAAAUUUUUAGGUGCAGAAGUUUAAAAAAUAAGUCUGUUCGACUUUUAAAUUCUU